CUGCAGCCAGUUAAGCCUACCUUUCCCCUAUGGGGCUUGGUAUGCAAUGGCUGCAAACAUAAGCCUCCUCGGUUGUAUAUGCAGCCAGUUGCUUGCAUGGGUUAUCAUAAGGGACCUACGAGACAGCC